rnacentral:rRNA from 1 species
GCUGGCGGCACGCCUAACACAUGCAAGUCGAACGAAGUAGCAAUACUUAGUGGCAGACGGGUGAGUAACAUGUAGGUAUCUACCCUUUGGCCUGGAAUAACACGAGGAAACUUGUGCUAAUACCGGAUAAGUCUUUACGGAGAAAGCUUUAUGCACCAUUGGAUGAGCCUGCACUUGAUUAGUUUGUUGGUGGGGUAAUGGCCUACCAAGACUGUGAUCAAUAGCUGAUUUGAGAGGAUGAUCAGCCACAUUGGGACUGAGACACGGCCCAAACUCCUACGGGAGGCAGCAGUGGGGAAUCUUGCACAAUGGAGGAAACUCUGAUGCAGCGAUGCCGCGUGAGUGAAGAAGGCCCUUGGGUUGUAAAGCUCUUUCGUCGGGGAAGAAAAUGACUGUACCCGAAUAAGAAGGUCCGG